rnacentral:rRNA from 1 species
UACAGAGGUCUCAAGCGUUGUUCGGAUUCAUUGGGCGUAAAGGGUGUGUAGGUGGCGCGCUAAGUCGGGUGUGAAAUUUCGGAGCUUAACUCCGAAACUGCAUUCGAUACUGGCGUGCUUGAGGACUGGAGAGGAGACUGGAAUUCAUGGUGUAGCAGUGAAAUGCGUAGAGAUCAUGAGGAAGACCAGUGGCGAGGGCGGCUCUCUGGGACGGUACUGACGCUGAGACGCGAAAGCGUGGGGAGCGAACAGG